rnacentral:rRNA from 2 species
GACCAAGGAGUCUAACAUGUGCGCGAGUCGUCGGGUCUUGAAUAGGCCCGCAGGCGCAAUGAAAGUGAAGGGCGACCCCGUUGUCGUCUGCGUUGGGAUCCUCAGACUGCCGUGUCUGGGGCGCACCAACGGCCCGUCCCGUCCGCAGCGUCGGUGGGACGGAGCGAGAGCGUACACGUUGGGACCCGAAAGAUGGUGAACUAUGCCUGGGCAGGACGAGGCCAGAGGAAACUCUGGUGGAGGUCCGCAGCGAUUCUGACGUGCAAAUCGAUCGUCAGACCUGGGUAUAGGGGCGAAAGACUAAUCGAACCGUCUAGUAGCUGGUUCCCUCCGAAGUUUCCCUCAGGAUAGCUGGCGCUCGAGGGAGUCAGUCUCAUCCGGUAAAGCGAAUGAUUAGAGGCCUUGGGGCCGAAACGACCUCAACCUAUUCUCAAACUUUCAAUGGGUGAGAAGUCCGGUUUACAUGACUGAAGCCCGGACAAUUCUCAGGAUGCGAGUGCCCAGUGGGCCACUUUU